UUUAUAAAGAGUUUGAUCCUGGCUCAGGACGAACGCUGGCGGCGCGCCUAACACAUGCAAGUCGAACGAGAGAUGAGGAGCUUGCUUUUCAAAUCGAGUGGCGAACGGGUGAGUAACGCGUGAGGAACCUGCCUCAAAGAGGGGGACAACAGUUGGAAACGACUGCUAAUACCGCAUAAGCCCACGGCUCGGCAUCGAGCAGAGGGAAAAGGAGCAAUCCGCUUUGAGAUGGCCUCGCGUCCGAUUAGCUAGUUGGUGAGGUAACGGCCCACCAAGGCGACGAUCGGUAGCCGGACUGAGAGGUUGAACGGCCACAUUGGGACUGAGACACGGCCCAGACUCC
rnacentral:rRNA from 1 species